UACGGAGGGUGCAAGCGUUAUCCGGAUUUAUUGGGUUUAAAGGGUCCGUAGGCGGAUGUGUAAGUCAGUGGUGAAAUCUCACAGCUUAACUGUGAAACUGCCAUUGAUACUGCAUGUCUUGAGUGUUGUUGAAGUAGCUGGAAUAAGUAGUGUAGCGGUGAAAUGCAUAGAUAUUACUUAGAACACCAAUUGCGAAGGCAGGUUACUAAGCAACAACUGACGCUGAUGGACGAAAGCGUGGGGAGCGAACAGG
rnacentral:rRNA from 1 species